rnacentral:rRNA from 1 species
AACAGACGAGGAGCUUGCUCCUCUGACGUUAGCGGCGGACGGGUGAGUAACACGUGGAUAACCUACCUAUAAGACUGGGAUAACUUCGGGAAACCGGAGCUAAUACCGGAUAAUAUAUUGAACCGCAUGGUUCAAUAGUGAAAGACGGUUUUGCUGUCACUUAUAGAUGGAUCCGCGCCGCAUUAGCUAGUUGGUAAGGUAACGGCUUACCAAGGCAACGAUGCGUAGCCGACCUGAGAGGGUGAUCGGCCACACUGGAACUGAGACACGGUCCAGACUCCUACGGGAGGCAGCAGUAGGGAAUCUUCCGCAAUGGGCGAAAGCCUGACGGAGCAACGCCGUGUGAGUGAUGAAGGUCUUCGGAUCGUAAAACUCUGUUAUUAGGGAAGAAUAAAUGUGUAAGUAACUAUGCACGUCUUGACGGUACCUAAUCAGAAAGCCACGGCUAACUACGUGCCAGCAGCCGCGGUAAUACGUAGGUGGCAAGCGUUAUCCGGAAUUAUUGGGCGUAAAGCGCGCGUAGGCGGUUUUUUAAGUCUGAUGUGAAAGCCCACGGCUCAACCGUGGAGGGUCAUUGGAAACUGGAAAACUUGAGUGCAGAAGAGGAAAGUGGAAUUCCAUGUGUAGCGGUGAAGUGCGCAGAGAUAUGGAGGAACACCAGUGGCGAAGGCGACUUUCUGGUCUGUAACUGACGCUGAUGUGCGAAAGCGUGGGGAUCAAACAGGAUUA